AAAACGACUCUCGGCAACGGAUAUCUCGGCUCUCGCAUCGAUGAAGAACGUAGCGAAAUGCGAUACUUGGUGUGAAUUGCAGAAUCCCGUGAACCAUCGAGUCUUUGAACGCAAGUUGCGCCCAAAACCAUCAGGUCGAGGGCACGUCUGCCUGGGUGUCACGC
rnacentral:rRNA from 1 species